GGGAGCCAUGGUGUCAGUGUCUGUAUGGUAUAUGGUAUAUAGGAUAUAUCACUAUCAGUGUCUAUGGGAGCCAUGGUGUCAGUGUCUGUAUGAUAUAUGGUAUAUAGGAUAUAUCACUAUCAGUGUCUAUGGGAGCCAUGGUGUCAGUGUCUGUAUGAUAUACGGUAUAUAGGAUAUAUCACUAUCAGUGUCUAUGGGAGCCAUGGUGUCAGUGUCUGUAU